rnacentral:lncRNA from 1 species
UUACAGGAUUGUGGGCUCAAUACAUGAUGGAGGAGUGUGGUUCAAGUUUGUGCUGUACCUUAUGAUUCUGUAUUAGGACUGUUACUUUUUCUUAAAAUGAGAAAUUCAAAUGCAAAGGACUACAAUUCAAAAUACACAUAUGGCUCCAGAUGGAAAUUAUUAGCACUUUUCUUAAUUACGACAAUGAAGACCAUAAGUGGAGAAUCAAGAGAAGAAAACAAGUUGAGUUACUUAUCCCUGCAAGCGAGGAUGAAGCAAUUGAGCACCUGUAUCCCAAAGUUCAACAUUGUCUCCUUUAGUGGCUCCCAACAUGUGAGCAGCAGACCACUGAUGGUACUUCGGGUGGUCUGUGAAGGACUCCUUAGUGGAAGUGAAAUGUAUGAACCAAUCACAGGAAGAGAGAAGGGUGAAGAUCACACUAAUGGAGCCUCUCAUCAUUUCAUCAUUUGCCAUCAUUUCUGUUUUUUACACUGUGUAAUAAAUAUGAAAUAUUUAUAUAUAGGCUUCUAAUACUGGGAAAAGGCAGGCUUUAAAUGGAUAAAAUAAAUACAAAUACAUAAGUAAUACCUUUGUGUGUGAUGUUUGAUACACGCUAAAUUCAAAAGUGCAAACAACUUUCUUACACAGGGCCCACAAAACCUUUGAUACUGAUGCAGUCUGCAUAAAAGAAAAGGCUCAGGAUCAAUAAUCUGCUAGCAGUGAUUCUCUAGGCUUUCAGGCUAGGGACAUUCUCAUAACUGUCUGAAGACUCGUAAGAACUGAACUUGGGAAUUUCUGCAUGAAUAGCAUGUGUGCUGUCAAUGAGUCAUGGCUCACACUUCUCAUCUUUUUUCUUACACUUUUAGUAAAGCCUUUAGUUUAAUUACUG